rnacentral:misc_RNA from 1 species
GCCCUUUUCAUUUUCCAAACGGGCAAUAACUUUAUAAACUUUUGCCGUUCUCGUGGUUAAAAAGUGGUAGGGGCUUUAAGACAUUCAUACAAGUGAAAUGUCCUACAACUAAUGGAAGAAAUCUGUUAAAUUGGCAAAGAAAACUUUUAGCAACCUAGUUUGAUCUAGCAUAGAUGCAUGCGUUCCUCACAUUGCGAUCUUGUUUU